rnacentral:rRNA from 1 species
AUGAACGCUAGCGGCAGGCCUAACACAUGCAAGUCGAGGGGCAUCACGAGGUAGCAAUACUUUGGUGGCGACCGGCGCACGGGUGCGUAACGCGUAUGUAACCUACCUAUAACAGGGGCAUAACACUGAGAAAUUGGUACUAAUUCCCCAUAAUAUUCGGAGAGGCAUCUCUCCGGGUUGAAAACUCCGGUGGUUAUAGAUGGACAUGCGUUGUAUUAGCUAGUUGGUGAGGUAACGGCUCACCAAGGCAACGAUACAUAGGGGGACUGAGAGGUUAACCCCCCACACUGGUACUGAGACACGGACCAGACUCCUACGGGAGGCAGCAGUGAGGAAUAUUGGUCAAUGGACGCAAGUCUGAACCAGCCAUGCCGCGUGCAGGAAGACGGCUCUAUGAGUUGUAAACUGCUUUUGUACGAGGGUAAACUCACCUACGUGUAGGUGACUGAAAGUAUCGUACGAAUAAGGAUCGGCUAACUCCGUGCCAGCAGCCGCGGUAAUACGGAGGAUUCAAGCGUUAUCCGGAUUUAUUGGGUUUAAAGGGUGCGUAGGCGGUUUGAUAAGUUAGAGGUGAAAUCCCGGGGCUUAACUCCGGAACUGCCUCUAAUACUGUUAGACUAGAGAGUAGUUGCGGUAGGCGGAAUGUAUGGUGUAGCGGUGAAAUGCUUAGAGAUCAUACAGAACACCGAUUGCGAAGGCAGCUUACCAAACUAUAUCUGACGUUGAGGCACGAAAGCGUGGGGAGCAAACAGGAUUAGAUACCCUGGUAGUCCACGCAGUAAACGAUGAUAACUCGUUGUCGGCGAUACACAGUCGGUGACUAAGCGAAAGCGAUAAGUUAUCCACCUGGGGAGUACGUUCGCAAGAAUGAAACUCAAAGGAAUUGACGGGGGCCCGCACAAGCGGUGGAUUAUGUGGUUUAAUUCGAAGCAACGCGAAGAACCUUACCAGGUCUUGACAUCGAUCUAAAAGGGAUGGAGACAUCCUCAUAGCUAUAGAGGAGACAGGUGGUGCAUGGUUGUCGUCAGCUCGUGCCGUGAGGUGUCGGGUUAAGUCCCAUAACGAGCGCAACCCCUACCGUUAGUUGCCAUCAGGUCAAGCUGGGCACUCUGGCGGGACUGCCGGUGUAAGCCGAGAGGAAGGUGGGGAUGACGUCAAAUCAGCACGGCCCUUACGUCCGGGGCUACACACGUGUUACAAUGGUAGGUACAGAGGGCCGCUACCCCGCGAGGGGAUGCCAAUCUCGAAAGCCUAUCUCAGUUCGGAUCGGAGGCUGAAACCCGCCUCCGUGAAGUUGGAUUCGCUAGUAAUCGCGCAUCAGCCAUGGCGCGGUGAAUACGUUCCCGGGCCUUGUACACACCGCCCGUCAAGCCAUGGAAGCUGGGGGUGCCUGAAGUUCGUGACCGCAAGGAGCGACCUAGGGCAAAACCGGUGACUGGGGCU